UACGUAGGUGCGAGCGUAAGUCGGAAUACUGGGGCGUAAAGGCGUGCGCAGGCGGCUUUGCAAGACAGAUGUGAAAUCCCCGGGCUCAACCUGGGAACUGCAUUUGUGACUGCAAGGCUAGAGUACGGCAGAGGGGGAUGGAAUUCCGCGUGUAGCAGUGAAAUGCGUAGAUAUGCGGAGGAACACCAAUGGCGAAGGCAAUCCCCUGGGCCUGUACUGACGCUCAUGCACGAAAGCGUGGGGAGCAAACAGGAUUAGAUACCCGCGUAGU
rnacentral:rRNA from 1 species